GCAAAUAUUUUAUUUCCUCUUGCCAAAGAGCAGUCAGAUCAAAUAGUCUGCCUUAGCCUGCACUUCAAGAAGUCAAAUGUUGCCAGGUCUCUGCAGGCUGCCCCAUUAUGUGAAAAAAGAAAAACAGUGGGACAUCUACUUUAGAAAAAUGUUGCAGCUCUGCUGUCUUUUUAUGUCAGUUUUGAUGACAGUUCGUGAGAGAUUUUGCUUGUCUACUUGCCAGUCAGAGAAUCACUUUAACAUGAUUGUUCUGGGGCAGCCCUACAAAAACGAAGCACACCUCCCCUGCUUUGUUCCUUGACACUACAUUUUAGCCCUCUCUCCUCAGGAGUCAUGCAUCAUAAACUUUUCCAAGAGAUGAUACUGUGACAAAAUUGUCAUGCUGCCCUGUUACACGUAAGGGCAUGGACUCAGGAGCCUGAAGGAGGCCUGAGGAGAUAAUCUAAUUCCCUGCACCAAACCUAAACCAUCUGUAGGAGGACAUUUAUCUAACGUGCUCUCCAAGGCAUACAACGCUUUUCUUUCUGUUUACUGGAUAUUAGGAAACAUUUCUUUACCAAGAGGGUUGUCAACCCCUGGAAAGAGCUUCCUAGAGUGGUGUUUGAUGACCCAUGUCUGUCAGUGUUCAAGUGCCAUUUGAAUAAACCUUUCAGAAAUUUCAUCUAGACCAUUCUUCCUCACUUCGUUUGCAAGAAUAUCAUUGUCAUAAUCCAUGAUCAUCUAGUCAAGACACUCAGUUCAGUCUAGAAGACUUUCAUCUCUGCUCAGCAAAGACAAAGACAAAUGUCUAGUCAGGUUCAAGGACCAUUCCUCUCCCUUUCUGCUGUACAAAGCUUUCCCCUGAAUGACCACAUUCUUCAUUAUCUUGAGCUACCACAAGCCCUGCUUGUGAUGCCUGGUACCACCUCUACAAUGUGAAAUAAGCGCAGCUCUUACAAGCCUGUAUUUGCUAGACAAAACUAGAAGCCCUCAUGUGUGACUUAAUUGCAGUCACUGACUCAAGUUUUUCUUGCUAGGUUUUCACCCUCUUAGUUCUGCCCAUUUUCCAGUCUGACAGAUCUCACAGAAGAGAUGGGGAGAAGUGGGAACCAACAGGGUUUGCAGUAGAAACAAACCUGCCAAAUUUUCCUUGCUGAGCACAAAGCUUGCACUGAAGACUGCUUCUUCAUGCUUUCCAGUGCACACUACACAUACAAUGGCCUUCUUCCCAACCACACAGCCUCAGCACUGCCAUCCCCAUCCCACAAACUGAAUUAGCCUCCAGCAGCCAUGCAGGACGAGAGCUCCACCUAAAGGCUCAGCCUCAGUACUCUUCAGGACUUGUGAGCCUCUGCUGUGCUCCAUCUCCAAGGGAAAAUGCACCUUACUCAGCAAAAUGCAGACACAGUAUCAGUCAUGGCCUUUACCUCCAUUGCAGCGGAGCAUGCUGCUGAUCUAGCAUCAUUUUGUAUUUAUCACUUUUUAUUUUAUUGCAUACUCAAUAGCUAAGCAGCACAAGGUCAUGCAGCAGUUUUGUCUGGCAGCUGUGGUACAAUUAACGCAUAAAAAUAUAUGUAUGAAUAUAUAAAUGUAGAUUUGUGUGUGUCUCUGUACGUUUCUCUUCUAUAUCUAGUUGGAAGACUAUAAAUAAUUUCCUACAAAG